rnacentral:SRP_RNA from 1 species
GAUGGGCGCGGUGGUGCACGCCUGUAGUCCCCUACUUGGGAGGCAGAGGUGGGAGGAUUACUUGAGCCCAGGAGUUCUGGGCUGUAGUGUACUACGCUGAUCAGGGGUCCGCACUAAGUCUGGCAUCAAUAUGGUGACCUCUUGGAAGUGGGUGACCACCAGGUUGCCUAAAGAGGGGUGAACCGACCCAAGUACGAAACGGAAUGGAGCAGGUCAAAACUCCUGUGACGAUCAGUAGUGGGAAUGCGCCUGUGAAUAGCCACUGCACUCCAGCCUUGAUAAUAUAGUGAGACCNNNNNNNN